UGGGAAUUUUGCACAAUGGGGGAAACCCUGAUGCAGCGACGCCGCGUGAUUUAGAAGGCCUUCGGGUUGUAAAAAUCUUUUCUAUGGGAAGAAAAUGACAGUACCAUAGGAAUAAGGACCGGCUAAUUACGUGCCAGCAGCCGCGGUAAUACGUAAGGUCCGAGCGUUGUCCGGAAUCAUUGGGCGUAAAGGGUACGUAGGCGGGUAAGCAAGUUAGAAGUGAAAUCCUAUAGCUCAACUAUAGUAAGCUUUUAAAACUGCUCAUCUUGAGGUAUGGAAGGGAAAGUGGAAUUCCUAGUGUAGCGGUGAAAUGCGCAGAUAUUAGGAGGAAUACCGGUGGCGAAGGCGACUUUCUGGCCAUAACCUGACGCUGAGGUACGAAAGCGUGGGUAGCAAACAGG
rnacentral:rRNA from 1 species